ACAUCAUUGUUAGGACAUUGAAUAAACUUCCCAUUAAAUCUCUCCCAUACCUCAUAUAGAGGUUCUUUAUUCAAUUGACAAAAUUAGUGAUUUUGUCAUGCAAUU
rfam:Capsicum annuum cultivar Zunla-1 chromosome 5, whole genome shotgun sequence